rnacentral:siRNA from 1 species
AGGUGGAAAACCAUAUGACGGUUU